rnacentral:rRNA from 1 species
UACAGAGGUCUCAAGCGUUGUUCGGAUUCAUUGGGCGUAAAGGGUGUGUAGGUGGCGCCGUAAGUCGGGUGUGAAAUUUCGGAGCUUAACUCCGAAACUGCAUUCGAUACUGCGGUGCUUGAGGACUGGAGAGGAGUCUGGAAUUCAUGGUGUAGCAGUGAAAUGCGUAGAGAUCAUGAGGAAGACCAGUGGCGAAGGCGGGUCUCUGGACAGUUCCUGACACUGAGACACGAAGGCCAGGGGAGCAAACGGG